CCCGAUUCAAAAAUUGAACAAACUCUAUGAAAGUUACCAGAAAAUAGAAGUAAAUUAGGUUUACCUAACAAAUACGGUGAACUCACUCGAGCUAUUGAUAAGUUAUUUAAAAUAUUAAAAACUGAGCCUGAAUCAAGUGGCACCAUUGCAAUCAUUGAUCAAGUUAAAAUAGACAAUGAAAGCAAUACCAAGUCAGAUCAUUCUGAUACUUCUUCUAGACCUACUCCUCCGGAUCUACAGUUCGAAGAGAGAAAUCUAGAUAAGCAAUUCUCUGUUUCA
rnacentral:lncRNA from 1 species